UCAGCUGCAAACCACUACACUCCCCCACCUCUUCAGUAUCAGAAAUCUCCCUCCAAUAAUCAAAAAACCCUAGCUCUCUCUACCCAGAAUCCUUAGCAUUAAGCAGCAAAUUUGUCAAUGGAGUCGAUUCGGAGUUCAAUCAAAAGCGAGGUGGCCUUGUGCGCAUGGUAUGCGAGAUUAUCAAACGAUGCCGGUUUUGCGAAGACAGUCCUCAGGUUCCGUUUGACGCGUUGAUGCAAAUCUAUCGUCGAUUCAGCCAAUUGCAUCUCGGCUGGCACUCGGCGGCGGCGGCGGCGGCGGCGUGGAGUUGGAGCUGGAGAAACUAGAAAGUCUACGAGGUGAAUGAACAUGGGCCAGAUUUUUUAAGCAGAGGAGAACUGAAGCAGUUUGAAGAAGAUUGUACUGUGAAUUAUUGACAAGUAUGGGUGUUUUAUAUUUUACCAUACUAAGAAUGUGCAUGAAGUUGAGGAGCUAGAUUUACUUGUUUUGGCUAAUGUUUUACAAAUUUGCCCUUUUUCCCCGAUUAUCCAUUAAUUUGAUAUGAUAGCAUAAUAUUUGUGGGUCGA